rnacentral:rRNA from 1 species
CCUACGGGAGGCAGCAGUGAGGAAUAUUGGUCAAUGGGCGGGAGCCUGAACCAGCCAAGUCGCGUGAGGGAAGACGGUCCUAUGGAUUGUAAACCUCUUUAGGCGGGGAGCAAUGCCGGGCACGCGUGCCCGGAGGGAGAGUACCCGCAGAAUAAGCAUCGGCUAACUCCGUGCCAGCAGCCGCGGUAAUACGGAGGAUGCGAGCGUUAUCCGGAUUGAUUGGGUUUAAAGGGUGCGUAGUCGGAUUUGUAAGUCAGCGGUAAAAUGUCCGGGCUCAACCCGGGCCGGCCGUUGAAACUGGGGAUCUUGAGUGGGCGAGAAGUAUGCGGAAUGCGUGGUGUAGCGGUGAAAUGAAUAGAUAUCACGCAGAACUCCGAUUGCGAAGGCAGCAUACCGGCGCCCGACUGACGCUGAGGCACGAAAGCGUGGGGAUCGAACAGGAUUAGAUACCCCAGUAGUC